rnacentral:rRNA from 1 species
UACGAAGGGGGCUAGCGUUGUUCGGAAUUACUGGGCGUAAAGCGUGCGCAGGCGGCUUCUCAAGUCAGGGGUGAAAGCCCAGAGCUCAACUCUGGAAUUGCCUUUGAGACUGAGUGGCUUGAGUACGAGAGAGGUGAGUGGAAUUCCCAGUGUAGAGGUGAAAUUCGUAGAUAUUGGGAAGAACACCGGUGGCGAAGGCGGCUCACUGGCUCGUAACUGACGCUCAUGCACGACAGCGUGGGGAUCAAAACAGG